UACGUAGGUGGCAAGCGUUGUCCGGAUUUAUUGGGUUUAAAGGGAGCGUAGGCGGACUUAUAAGUCAGUGGUGAAAUCUCCGAGCUUAACUCGGAAACUGCCAUUGAUACUGUAAGUCUAGAGUACAGUUGCCGUUGGCGGAAUAUGACAUGUAGUGGUGAAAUACUUAGAUAUGUCAUAGAACACCGAUUGCGAAGGCAGCUAACGAAGCUGUAACUGACGCUGAGGCUCGAAAGUGCGGGGAUCAAACAGG
rnacentral:rRNA from 1 species